rnacentral:rRNA from 1 species
GGGUUGUGAGGUUAAGCGACUAAGCGUACACGGUGGAUGCCCUGGCAGUCAGAGGCGAUGAAGGGCGUGCUAAUCUGCGAUAAGCGCCGGUAAGGUGAUAUGAACCGUUAUAACCGGCGAUACCCGAAUGGGGAAACCCAGUGUGAUUCGUCACACUAUCAUUAACUGAAUCCAUAGGUUAAUGAGGCGAACCGGGGGAACUGAAACAUCUAAGUACCCCGAGGAAAAGAAAUCAACCGAGAUUCCCCCAGUAGCGGCGAGCGAACGGGGAGGAGCCCAGAGCCUGAAUCAGCAUGUGUGUUAGUGGAAGCGUCUGGAAAGGCGCGCGAUACAGGGUGACAGCCCCGUACACAAAAGCGCAUGUGCUGUGAGCUCGAUGAGUAGGGCGGGACACGUGGUAUCCUGUCUGAAUAUGGGGGGACCAUCCUCCAAGGCUAAAUACUCCUGACUGACCGAUAGUGAACCAGUACCGUGAGGGAAAGGCGAAAAGAACCCCGGCGAGGGGAGUGAAAAAGAACCUGAAACCGUGUACGUACAAGCAGUGGGAGCCCCACCACUAAGCCAGUGGUGAACUCCACAUACGCAUCCUUUGCUGAGGAUACGGUUAACGGAGCGAAAGCGACGUUCAACCGCAAAAGAAGCAGAGGGGGCUUAGUGGUGGGGUGACUGCGUACCUUUUGUAUAAUGGGUCAGCGACUUAUAUUCUGUAGCAAGGUUAACCGAAUAGGGGAGCCGGAGGGAAACCGAGUCUUAAUUGGGCGUUAAGUUGCAGGGUAUAGACCCGAAACCCGGUGAUCUAGCCAUGGGCAGGUUGAAGGUUGGGUAACACUAACUGGAGGACCGAACCGACUAAUGUUGAAAAAUUAGCGGAUGACCUGUGGCUGGGGGUGAAAGGCCAAUCAAACCGGGAGAUAGCUGGUUCUCCCCGAAAGCUAUUUAGGUAGCGCCUCGUGAAUUCAUCUCCGGGGGUAGAGCACUGUUUCGGCUAGGGGGCCAUCCCGGCUUACCAACCCGAUGCAAACUGCGAAUACCGGAGAAUGUUAUCACGGGAGACACACGGCGGGUGCUAACGUCCGUCGUGAAGAGGGAAACAACCCAGACCGCCAGCUAAGGUCCCAAAGUCAUGGUUAAGUGGGAAACGAUGUGGGAAGGCCCAGACAGCCAGGAUGUUGGCUUAGAAGCAGCCAUCAUUUAAAGAAAGCGUAAUAGCUCACUGGUCGAGUCGGCCUGCGCGGAAGAUGUAACGGGGCUAAACCAUGCACCGAAGCUGCGGCAGCGACACUCAGGUGUUGUUGGGUAGGGGAGCGUUCUGUAAGCCUGUGAAGGUGGUCUGUGAGGCAUGCUGGAGGUAUCAGAAGUGCGAAUGCUGACAUAAGUAACGAUAAAGCGGGUGAAAAGCCCGCUCGCCGGAAGACCAAGGGUUCCUGUCCAACGUUAAUCGGGGCAGGGUGAGUCGACCCCUAAGGCGAGGCCGAAAGGCGUAGUCGAUGGGAAACGGGUUAAUAUUCCCGUACUUGGUGUUACUGCGAAGGGGGGACGGAGAAGGCUAUGUUGGCCGGGCGACGGUUGUCCCGGUUUAAGCGUGUAGGUGUGUGUUCCAGGUAAAUCCGGUUCACUUUAACACUGAGGCGUGACGACGAGGCACUACGGUGCUGAAGCAACAAAUGCCCUGCUUCCAGGAAAAGCCUCUAAGCAUCAGGUAACAUCAAAUCGUACCCCAAACCGACACAGGUGGUCAGGUAGAGAAUACCAAGGCGCUUGAGAGAACUCGGGUGAAGGAACUAGGCAAAAUGGUGCCGUAACUUCGGGAGAAGGCACGCUGACACGUAGGUGAAGUGAUUUACUCAUGGAGCUGAAGUCAGUCGAAGAUACCAGCUGGCUGCAACUGUUUAUUAAAAACACAGCACUGUGCAAACACGAAAGUGGACGUAUACGGUGUGACGCCUGCCCGGUGCCGGAAGGUUAAUUGAUGGGGUCAGCGCAAGCGAAGCUCCUGAUCGAAGCCCCGGUAAACGGCGGCCGUAACUAUAACGGUCCUAAGGUAGCGAAAUUCCUUGUCGGGUAAGUUCCGACCUGCACGAAUGGCGUAAUGAUGGCCAGGCUGUCUCCACCCGAGACUCAGUGAAAUUGAACUCGCUGUGAAGAUGCAGUGUACCCGCGGCAAGACGGAAAGACCCCGUGAACCUUUACUAUAGCUUGACACUGAACAUUGAGCCUUGAUGUGUAGGAUAGGUGGGAGGCUUUGAAGUGUGGACGCCAGUCUGCAUGGAGCCGACCUUGAAAUACCACCCUUUAAUGUUUGAUGUUCUAACGUGGACCCGUGAUCCGGGUUGCGGACAGUGUCUGGUGGGUAGUUUGACUGGGGCGGUCUCCUCCUAAAGAGUAACGGAGGAGCACGAAGGUUGGCUAAUCCUGGUCGGACAUCAGGAGGUUAGUGCAAUGGCAUAAGCCAGCUUGACUGCGAGCGUGACGGCGCGAGCAGGUGCGAAAGCAGGUCAUAGUGAUCCGGUGGUUCUGAAUGGAAGGGCCAUCGCUCAACGGAUAAAAGGUACUCCGGGGAUAACAGGCUGAUACCGCCCAAGAGUUCAUAUCGACGGCGGUGUUUGGCACCUCGAUGUCGGCUCAUCACAUCCUGGGGCUGAAGUAGGUCCCAAGGGUAUGGCUGUUCGCCAUUUAAAGUGGUACGCGAGCUGGGUUUAGAACGUCGUGAGACAGUUCGGUCCCUAUCUGCCGUGGGCGCUGGAGAACUGAGGGGGGCUGCUCCUAGUACGAGAGGACCGGAGUGGACGCAUCACUGGUGUUCGGGUUGUCAUGCCAAUGGCACUGCCCGGUAGCUAAAUGCGGAAGAGAUAAGUGCUGAAAGCAUCUAAGCACGAAACUUGCCCCGAGAUGAGUUCUCCCUGAGACUUAGAGUCUCCUGAAGGAACGUUGAAGACGACGACGUUGAUAGGCCGGGUGUGUAAGCGCAGCGAUGCGUUGAGCUAACCGGUACUAAUGAACCGUGAGGCUUAACCUUACAACGCCGAAG